AUUGAACGCUGGCGGCAUGCUUUACACAUGCAAGUCGAACGGUAACAGGCCGCAAGGUGCUGACGAGUGGCGAACGGGUGAGUAAUGCAUCGGAACGUGCCCAGUCGUGGGGGAUAACUACUCGAAAGAGUAGCUAAUACCGCAUACGAUCUAUGGAUGAAAGCGGGGGACCGUAAGGCCUCGCGCGAUUGGAGCGGCCGAUGUCAGAUUAGGUAGUUGGUGGGGUAAAGGCUCACCAAGCCAACGAUCUGUAGCUGGUCUGAGAGGACGACCAGCCACACUGGGACUGAGACACGGCCCAGACUCCUACGGUAGGCAGCAGUGGGGAAUUUUGGACAAUGGGCGCAAGCCUGAUCCAGCAAUGCCGCGUGCAGGAAGAAGGCCUUCGGGUUGUAAACUGCUUUUGUACGGAACGAAACGGCUCUGGUUAAUACCCGGGGCUAAUGACGGUACCGUAAGAAUAAGCACCGGCUAACUACGUG
rnacentral:rRNA from 1 species